UACUCGAUCCUAGCAACCACCUCGGUCCUUUUCAUCCCAUAUUUUUUUUUCCCAUUCUUUUAUUACUUGGCUACUCAAAUCUUGCUUUCCUUAUUACUCUAUUGCUAUUUUGUGGUUAAUUCUUCUCCCCCUAAUUUGGCUUUCCGCUGCCCACCGUUGUGCUUUGUGGUUAAUUCUUCUCCCCCUAAUUUGGCUUUCCGCUGCCCACCGUUGUGCUUUGGGUUCUAAUAAAUUCUAUUCUAAGACACUUUCUCAGCGAUCGGCGGCGGCAGCGGUGGCGGCGAUAGGAGAGUUUGUUUGGAUUUUAUUACUUCCUUCAUCGACGGGGGAAUUGGUUGGUCCUCGGAUCUACAGCUGCUGCAAUUGUCGAAACCAUGUCUGUCUUCACGACGACAUAAUCUUGAAAGCUUUUCAGAAGACAUGAAAAUUUCGGCAUGCUGGCUUAAACCCGAAACCUUGAUUUUGUGUUCUAGGUUGUUUAAUACAUACCUUAAGAGCUUAGAUUCUGCUUCAUUCUCUUCUCACUAGCAUACAGCUUGAAGAUCGUGUAUCGACGAAUAUUGGCAAGUUGAAUGCACAUCAAGCACUUCAGUACUUAUCAAAUUCCUCAACUAUGAUUUAAGAGAUUGGGGAUGCAGUUUAUUUUACUUUCUGACUUUUUGGGCAACAAUCACACCCGUCGAUGUACCAAAAAAAAAAGAAGAGAGAUUGGAGAUGCUGAAUGUGCGCGAUACUUCCAGAUACAUGCUGAUCAUUAUUGGAGAGCAUUUUUAUUCUGUGCGAGCACUCUCAAUUAAGUUGGCAAUCAGAUUCCACAUAGUCUUCAUUAGCUAAUUACCGUUUUCUCUAUUGUAAUGAUUAAGGAGACAGGUUUAAUGCAUUGUAUAAUAGAACCAUUAUUGUUU